AUUGAACGCUGGCGGCAGGCCUAACACAUGCAAGUCGAGCGAGCGGCGGACGGGUGAGUAAUGUCUGGGAAACUGCCUGAUGGAGGGGGAUAACUACUGGAAACGGUAGCUAAUACCGCAUACCAUCGGAUGUGCCCAGUUGGGAUUAGCUAGGAGGUGGGGUAACGGCUCACCUAGGCGACGAUCCCUAGCUGGGCUGAGAGGAUGACCAGCCAACCUGGAACGGAUAAACGGUCCAUACUCCUACGGUAGGCAGCAGUGGGGAAUAUUGCACAAUGGGCGCAAUCCUGAUGCAGCCAUGCCGCGUGUAUGAAGAAGGCCUUCGGGUUGUAAAGUACUUUCAGCGGGGAGGCGUUACCCGCAGAAGAAGCACCGGCUAACUCCGUGCCAGCAGCCGCGGUAAUAC
rnacentral:rRNA from 1 species